GCAAACGGGGUUAAGUGACUUGCCCAGGGUCACAUAGCCAAUAGGAGUCCAAGACCAGAUUUGAACUAAGGAAAAGGAACCUUCCUGAUUCCAAGAUCAAUGCUCUAUACACUGUGCCAUCUGGAUGAUGUGAACAGAGGUGCAGUGAUUUACCCAGUCAGUCAAAUUGCUCUAAAGAUGGGUUUUUAACCUGGAUCCUCUGACUGCCAGAACCGAUGUUCCACUUGUCUCCCACUGAACAGUGAAGGACUUUGAGUCUACAUCAUAGGAGGAUGGGUUGAAGAAACCGGAAGUGUUUCGACAGAAGACUUAGGAGGGACAGAAUAUUGGAUAUGUUCUAGUAGAGUUUCAUUCCCAGUGUGGGCUGUAGCAGCUCCAUACAGAGGUGGAGAGGCAGCUACGUGGUACAGAGGAUAGAAUGCUAGGUCUGGGUAAGAAAGAUCUGAGUUCAAAACUGGCCUUAGAUACUUCCUAGCUGUGUGACCCUAGGUGUCAUUGUUUUGCCUCAGUUUCUUUAACUAUAAAAUGGGGAUAAUAAUAGUACCUACCUCAUGGGACUGUUGUGAGGCUCAAAUGAAAUAAUAUUUGUGAAAAAAUGCUUAGUGCAAUGCCUGGCCCAUUGUAGGCACUUAUUAAAUGCUUAUUCCUUCUCCUCUCUUACAACCAGAGGUAUGCUGGAGCCAAUUCAUACUAGUUUGUGGAAGGUGAUUGUUAAAUUAUCCAUGAGCCUUUACAUCUCAAAAACUGGCAAACCCCACAAAUAAGAGUUGGAUUUGUUUUGUUGAUUAGCUAGAAUAAGAAAGUGAUAAAGGAAAUGUUAUAAAUUUGAGUGUUCAUGCACAUAUUAUGUCCCAGAGUCAGUUGUUAAACAUUUGCCAUCAUACCUCUGCUUUCAACUCUAAAAAUUCUAUGACUGUGAACAUCUGCUACAAAGGUAAUCCUUCCUCCAAGGCAGGGCCAAGACAGGUAGACCCCAAUUCUACCUACAUACUAGGGGGUUGUCCAAAGCACAUGUUGAAGUGAUUUGUUGUUAAUCAAGUCCAACUUUCCUGAUCCCAUCUGGGUUUGGUUUUUUUUGGUAAAGAGACUUGAGUAAUUAAUUUGUCAUUUCCAUCUUCAGCUCAUUUUACAGAUGAGGAAACUAAGGCAAACAGAGUUAAGAAACUUGUCUGGGGUCACAUAACUAGUAAGUGUCUGAGGCCAGAUUUGAACUCAAGAGGAGAGUCUUCUAGACUCCAGACCCAGCACUCUAUCCACUGUGCACUUGGCUGAUUUGUUGGGUCAAAGGAAUAGUGAGUCAUCAGAGGUUUGAAAUCAGUUUUUUCGGACUCUAGAUCCAAAGUUUUCUAUAUGCACUAAAAUAUCUGCUAAUUUAAUUGAACAUUUUCAAUGAACAAGAACAUAUUUUUUUGCUUUCUCCCAUCACCCUUCCCCCAACUGAAAAAAGAAAAAACUUCUUGUGACAAAUAUGUGUAACCAAGACAAACACAUUUUGACUAUGUCCAAAGAUGGGUCUUGUUCUUAAGUCUGUCAGGAGACAUCUAUAAUUUACUUUGUGAUUGGUUCCCUGGAAUGGUGGUUGGUCAUUGCAUUGAUUUAAGUAUUUGAAAAGUGUUGUUGUAUAAAUUGUUCUGCCAAUUCUCA